rnacentral:rRNA from 1 species
AACAAACGCUGGCGGCGUGCCUAAUACAUGCAAGUCGAACGGGGUAGCAAUACCUGGUGGCGCACGGGUGAGUAACGCGUGGAUAAUCUGCCUUAGAGUGGGGGAUAACUAGUCGAAAGAUUAGCUAAUACCGCAUAAGACCACAAGAACUGCGGUUCAAGGGGUCAAAGGUUUUUCGCUCUAAGAUGAGUCCGCGUAAGAUUAGCUAGUUGGUGAGGUAAUGGCUCACCAAGGCGACGAUCUUUAACUGGUCUGAGAGGAUGAUCAGUCACACUGGAACUGAGACACGGUCCAGACUCCUACGGGAGGCAGCAGUAGGGAAUAUUGCACAAUGGAGGAAACUCUGAUGCAGCGACGCCGCGUGAGUGAUGAAGGCCUUCGGGUCGUAAAGCUCUGUCGCAGGGGAAUAACACAAUGAAUGUACCCUGUAAGAAAGGAUCGGCUAACUUCGUGCCAGCCGCCGCGGUAAAAC